rnacentral:rRNA from 1 species
UACGUAGGGUGCGAGCGUUAAUCGGAAUUACUGGGCGUAAAGUGUGCGCAGGUGGCUUCGCAAGUCGAGUGUGAAAUCCCCGGGCUUAACCUGGGAAUUGCGCUCGAAGCUACGGAGCUGGAGUAUGGCAGAGGGAGGUGGAAUUCCACGUGUAGCGGUGAAAUGCGUAGAGAUGUGGAGGAACACCAAUGGCGAAGGCAGCCUCCUGGGCCAAUACUGACACUCAUGCACGAAAGCGUGGGGAGCAAACAGG